rnacentral:lncRNA from 1 species
UAUAUUGAAAUUAUUAUCAUCCUCUCCCAAACUGAAUAUUAAAAACAACGUCACGGGGCUGCUGUGACCCCAGUAAUAUGGACAGUACUAUCAUUGUCUCCCUCCCUAAAUAUUAAGAACAGUAUCACAAGAGAGGUGUACACCCCCUGCGAUAUGGCCAGUAAUAUCAUCGUCUCUACCUUUGGAUACUAGGAACAACAUCACAGAGGGUGUGUACACCCCCUGCGAUAUUGGGCAUAAUGUUAGCCUCUCUUCCCCUGGACAUAAGGAACAAUAUCCCUGGUCGGGGGAGGUGGAGUACAUUAAGAACAAUAUCUGAAGGAGGUGGGUGUACACCCCCUGAGAUAUUGGGUGUAGUAUCAUCCUCUCUUUCCUAGGAUACUAAGAACAAUAUCACAGGAGGGGUGUACAGCCCCUGCGAUAUUGGGAGUAAUAUCAUCCCCUCCCCCUCUCUAUAUAAGGAACAAUAUCCCGGGGUGGGUGUACAUCCCCUGCGAUAUUGGGCGUAAUGUCAUCGUCUCCCAACGUGGAUAUUGGCAAUAAUGUCCCAGGGGGUUGUACACCUUCUUCGAUAUUGGGAGUAGUAUCGUCCUCUCCCCUCGGGAUUGUAGGCAAAAUAUGGAAGGGGUUUUACAACUCAUGCGAUAUGGGCAGUAAUAUCAUCCUCUCUCCACCUAGAUAUUAGGAACUAUAUCACAGGCGGCUGUACACUUCUUGCGAUAUUGGGAGUAAUAUCAUCCUCUCCCAUCAUGGAUAUUAAGAACAAUAUUACCAAAGAGGUGUACACCCCCUGCGAUAUUGACAGUAAUAUUUGGCUCUCCCCUUCGGGAUAUUAGGAACAAUAUCGCAGGAGGUGUGCACAACCCCUGCGAUAUUGGGAGUCAUAUCAUCCUCUCCCCCUGAAUAUAAGAAACAAUAUCACGGGAGGAUGUACACCCCGUGCGAUAUUGGGAGUAAUAUCAUUUUCUCCCCCUCGGGAUAUUCGGAACAAUAUCACAGUGGGUGUGUACAGCCGCUGCGACAUUGCCACCAGUAUCAUCCUCUCCCUCCCAGGAUAUAAGGAACAAUGUCACAAGGGGGCGCACACCCCCUGCGAUAUUGGGGGUAAUAUCUUCCUCUGCCCCGCUGGCUAUUAGGAACAAUGUCACAGAAGGGGUGUCCACUCCCUGCUAUAUUGGGAAUGAGAUCUUCCUCUCCAUCCCUGAGUAUUAGGAACAAUAUCCCUAGGGAGUGUACACCUCCUGCAAUAGUGAGACUAAGAUCAUCCUCUCGCCCCCUGGAUAUUAGGAUCAAUAUCAUAGGGGUGGUGUACACCCCCUGCGAAAUUGGAAGAAAUAUCAUCCUCUCCACCUUUGGACGUUAGGGACAGUAUCACGGGGGAUGUCUACGCCCCCUGCGAUAUUGGGAGUCAUAUCAUCCGCUCCCACCCAGGACAUUAGGAACAAGAUGACUGAACGGAGGUACACCCGCAGCGACAUUUUCAAUAAUGUCAUCCUCUACGUCCUGGCAAUUAGGAGAAACAUCAUAGAGGGGUGUACACUUUCAGCGACAUCGGGAGUAAUAUCCUCUCCCCCACAGAUAUCGGGAACAGUUAUAUUAAUUAUUAAUAUUAAUAAAUAUAUUAAUAAUUAAUAGUAAUCAUCGAUAUUAAUAAUUGCAAUAGAGAUAGUAAAAGUGAAUAUGGAUAAAAAUAUUAACAAUUACUAUUAAUAAUAGCAAUAUCACUAUUAAUAAUAAAAUAAUGAUAUUAUUAAUCAAUGUUACAUAAAUCAGUCAUAAGUGAUGUUGGUAAUAAAACAAUAAUUAAUAUUAAGAUUAAUAACUAAUAUUAUUGAAAAAUGACAUUAAUACAGAUAAUUUUAAUCAUGCAUAAUUGUACAUUUAAAAUAAUCAUUAAUGAUUAAUAACGUUAUACUAUUAAUUAAUAUUACCAUUGAUAAUUAUUAAGACUGAUGUUUAACAAUUAAUAAUAUUAUUAAGAUUGAUGCUUAAUAAUUAAUCGUAUUAUUUCUCCUAAUACCGCAGGGGGUGUACACCUACCCGUGAUAUUGUUCCUAAUAUCCAGGGAUGGAGAGCAUGAUAUUAGUUUUAAUAUCUCAGUAGGUGUACACUCACCCUGUGACACUGAUCCUAAUAUCCAGGGAGUAGAGUAUGACAUGACUCCCAACAUAGCAAUGAAUGUACAGCCACCCGGUGAUAUUGCUCCUAGUAUUCACGGAAGAAGCGUAGGAUAUUACUUCCAAAAUCGCAGGGAGUGUACACCUCUUCUGUGAUAUUGUUCCUGGUAUCCCGAGGGGGAGAGGAUGAUAAUAAUUCCAGUAUCGCAGGCUGUGAUCACCCACCCUGUGAUAUUGUUAUUAACAUCCUGAAAGGGAGAGGAUGAUAUUACUCCCCGUAAUAGAUAGAUAUUACUCCCCAUAACAGAGCAGGAGGUGUACACCCACCCUGUGAUAUUGUUCCUAAUAUUCAGAGGCCGAGAGGUCGAUAUUACUCCCAAUAUGGCAGGAAGUGUACACCCCCGUGUGAGAUGGUCCUUAAUAAUAUUCCAAGGCGGAGGGGGAGAUAUUACUCCCAAAAUCGCAGAAAGUGUACACCCCCAGGGAUAUUGUUCUCAUGAUCCUGGAGGGAAGAGGAUGAUAUCACUUUAAAUAUCACAGAAGGGAGGAAGACGAUGAUAUUACUCCCAAAACAGACGGCUGUACACCCUCUGCACACCGAGGGUCUACCCCCAUCUGUGAAAUAGUUUAUAAUUUCCAGAGGGGGAGAUGAUAUCACUCCGAAUAUCGUAAACAGGCUGCUUCGGUAGAUUGCAAAUGACCUGCUUUCUUUCGGAUCCCGGGCUGCUUUCGGACACCUGUCGAAUAGUAAAUCCCAAGUAAGGUACCUGCGGUCGUCGGCAGAUCUGAAUUUUCUUCUUGGACACCUAAUACCCACAGUCCUCCAGAGACCGAGAGGUUGAUGUCACUCCCAAUAUCGGAGGAAGUAUACACCCCCGUGUGAGAUGGUCCUUAAUAAUAUUCCACGGCGGAGGGGGUGAUAUGACUACAUACAUGGCAGAAAGUGGAAACCUCCCAGGGAUAUUGUUCCCACGAUCCUGGAGGGAAGAAGAUGAUGUUACUUUCAAUAUGACAGAAGGUGGAUGAAGUGGUGGACUGCCCCUCCACACCUGUGGACACGCCCCCACUGAUAUUCCUUCUAAUUGCAGCGUGGGAGAGGAGGAUAUGACACGCGAUAUCGCAGGGAGUAGAAACACCCCUGUGAUACUGUUCUUAAUAUUCAGGGAGGAAGAGGAUGAUAUUACUCCCAAUACAGACGGGUGUACACCCUCUGUACACCGAGGGUGUACACCUGUCUGUGAAAGAGUUCGUAAUCUCCAGAGGGGGAGAUGAUAUUACUCACAAUAUGGUAAAGAGGCUGUGAGUCCACGGAGGAUCCUCAGAGCCAGCGGGGGAAGAGGGGCUGGCUCUCAGUCCCCGCCUCGCGGGGGUGACUCCCCCCAGUGCGAUGGGGGUCCUAAGAGCCAGUGGGGGAAGAGGGGCUGGCUCUGAGACCCCGCCUCGCGGGGGGUGCCUCCCCGCCCUGUGAUGGGGGUCCGAAGAGCCAGAAGGCUUAGAGGGGCUGGCUCUCAGUCCCCGCCUCGCGGGGGGUGCCUCCUCCCCCUGCGAUGGGGGUCGUAAGAGCCACUGGGGGAAUAGGGGCUUGCUCUCAGUCACCGCCUCGCGGGGGGUGCCUCCUUUCCUUUCUACAUAGACACAGUGACAGUCUGAUCUCUCUUUCUUUUCCCUACAGAUGGACACGCCCCCACUGAUAUUGUUUUUAAUGCAGCGUGGGAGGGGAGGAUAUGACACGCGAUAUCGCAGGUAGUAGAAACACCCCUUUGAUAGUGUUCUUAAUAUUCAGGGAGGAAGAAGAUGAUGUUACUCCCAAUACAGACGGAUGUACACCCUCUGUACACCGAGGGUGUACACCCGUCUGUGAAGGAGUUCGUAAUCUCCAGAGGUGGAGAUGAUAUUACUCACAAUAUGGUAAACAGGCUGUGAGUCCAUCGCGGAUCCUCAGAGCCAGGUGGGGAAGAGGGGCUGGCUGUCAGUCCCCUCCUCGCGGGGGGUGCCUCCCCCACUGCUAUGGGGAUCCCAAGAGCCAGUGGGGGAAGAGGUGCUGGCUCUCAGUCUCCGCCUCGCGAGGUGCCUCCCCACCCUGCGAUCGGGGUCCGAAGAGCCAGGGGGGAAGAGGGGCUGGCUCUCUUCGUGGAUGAUUCUUUUUCCAUUCUCAGGCAGUUUUCUUUUUUCUUUCUUUCUUUUUUUUUUUUUUUGAGACUGAGUCUUGCUCUGUUGCCCAUGCUUUGCUCGAUCUCGGGUGACUGCAACCACUGCCUCCCAGGUUCAAGAGAUUCUCCUGCCUCAGCCUCCUGAGUAGCUGGGACUAGAGGCGUGUGUCACCACACCCAGCUAAUUUUUGUAUUUUUAGUAGAGAUGGGGUUUCACCAUGUUUGCCAGGAUGGUCUCUAUCUCCUGCCCUUGUGAUCCACCCACCUCAGCCUCCCAAAGUGCUGGGAUUGCAGGUGCGAGCCACCGGGUCCAGCCUCUCAGGCGAUUUUCAUACCUGCAUACUCUGGUCACUACUCUGUUAAACAGUCAAGGAGGCUGAGUGCCACGUGCUGACGUCACUAAGAUCAAUACAGCAAACUCUGAAAGAUGGACAGAGAGACAGGAGAUGGUCCUUUAUAAUGCAGUGUGAUCUGUGCUGCAAUAGAGUUUUGGAAGCUAGAAGUUCAAAACGAGGUGUUGGCAGCACCAUGCUCUCUCUGAAGAUGCUAGGAAGAAUCUGCUCCAUGCCUUUCCAUUCGCUUCUGGGGUUUCCUGCAAGCCCUGACAUUCCUUGGCUUGUAGAUGCAUCACCCCAGUUUCCGCCCCCAUCAUCACAUGGCCUCCUCUCUGUGUGUGCCUCUGCGUUCCCUCUAUUCUUCUUCUAAGGACACCGACACCAGUCAUAGUGGAUUAAGUGUCCACUCCUAACCAAUUACAUCUGCAACAACCCUAUUUCCAAAUAAAGUCACAUUCUAAGAUUCCUAGGGAGAACAUGAAUUUUUGGGGGUGUGUGGAUACUG